CAACGUUAAUCGGGGCAGGGUGAGUCGACCCCUAAGGCGAGGCCGAAAGGCGUAGUCGAUGGGAAACAGGUUAAUAUUCCUGUACUUGGUGUUACUGCGAAGGGGGGACGGAGAAGGCUAUGUUGGCCGGGCGACGGUUGUCCCGGUUUAAGCGUGUAGGCUGGUUUUCCAGGCAAAUCCGGAAAAUCAAGGCUGAGGCGUGAUGACGAGGCACUACGGUGCUGAAGCAACAAAUGCCCUGCUUCCAGGAAAAGCCUCUAAGCAUCAGGUAACAUCAAAUCGUACCCCAAACCGACACAGGUGGUCAGGUAGAGAAUACCAAGGCGCUUGAGAGAACUCGGGUGAAGGAACUAGGCAAAAUGGUGCCGUAACUUCGGGAGAAGGCACGCUGAUAUGUAGGUGAAGCGACUUGCUCGUGGAGCUGAAAUCAGUCGAAGAUACCAGCUGGCUGCAACUGUUUAUUAAAAACACAGCACUGUGCAAACACGAAAGUGGACGUAUACGGUGUGACGCCUGCCCGGUGCCGGAAGGUUAAUUGAUGGGGUCAGCGCAAGCGAAGCUCUUGAUCGAAGCCCCGGUAAACGGCGGCCGUAACUAUAACGGUCCUAAGGUAGCGAAAUUCCUUGUCGGGUAAGUUCCGACCUGCACGAAUGGCGUAAUGAUGGCCAGGCUGUCUCCACCCGAGACUCAGUGAAAUUGAACUCGCUGUGAAGAUGCAGUGUACCCGCGGCAAGACGGAAAGACCCCGUGAACCUUUACUAUAGCUUGACACUGAACAUUGAGCCUUGAUGUGUAGGAUAGGUGGGAGGCUUAGAAGUGUGGACGCCAGUCUGCAUGGAGCCGACCUUGAAAUACCACCCUUUAAUGUUUGAUGUUCUAACGUUGACCCGUAAUCCGGGUUGCGGACAGUGUCUGGUGGGUAGUUUGACUGGGGCGGUCUCCUCCUAAAGAGUAACGGAGGAGCACGAAGGUUGGCUAAUCCUGGUCGGACAUCAGGAGGUUAGUGCAAUGGCAUAAGCCAGCUUGACUGCGAGCGUGACGGCGCGAGCAGGUGCGAAAGCAGGUCAUAGUGAUCCGGUGGUUCUGAAUGGAAGGGCCAUCGCUCAACGGAUAAAAGGUACUCCGGGGAUAACAGGCUGAUACCGCCCAAGAGUUCAUAUCGACGGCGGUGUUUGGCACCUCGAUGUCGGCUCAUCACAUCCUGGGGCUGAAGUAGGUCCCAAGGGUAUGGCUGUUCGCCAUUUAAAGUGGUACGCGAGCUGGGUUUAGAACGUCGUGAGACAGUUCGGUCCCUAUCUGCCGUGGGCGCUGGAGAACUGAGGGGGGCUGCUCCUAGUACGAGAGGACCGGAGUGGACGCAUCACUGGUGUUCGGGUUGUCAUGCCAAUGGCACUGCCCGGUAGCUAAAUGCGGAAGAGAUAAGUGCUGAAAGCAUCUAAGCACGAAACUUGCCCCGAGAUGAGUUCUCCCUGACCCUUUAAGGGUCCUGAAGGAACGUUGAAGACGACGACGUUGAUAGGCCGGGUGUGUAAGCGCAGCGAUGCGUUGAGCUAACCGGUACUAAUGAACCGUGAGGCUUAACCUUACAACGCCGAAGGUGUUU
rnacentral:rRNA from 1 species